rnacentral:rRNA from 1 species
GACGAACGCUGGCGGCGUGCUUAACACAUGCAAGUCGAGCGGUAAGGCCCUUUCGGGGGUACACGAGCGGCGAACGGGUGAGUAACACGUGGGUGACCUGCCCUCAGCUCUGGGAUAAGCCUGGGAAACCGGGUCUAAUACUGGAUAUGACUCCAUGACGCACGUUGUGGGGUGGAAAGCCUUGUGCGGCUGAGGAUGGGCCCGCGGCCUAUCAGCUUGUUGGUGGGGUGAUGGCCUACCAAGGCGACGACGGGUAGCCGGCCUGAGAGGGCGACCGGCCACACUGGGACUGAGACACGGCCCAGACUCCUACGGGAGGCAGCAGUGGGGAAUCUUGCGCAAUGGGCGAAAGCCUGACGCAGCGACGCCGCGUGAGGGAUGACGGCCUGU